AACGAACGCUGGCGGCAUGCCUAACACAUGCAAGUCGAACGAGACCUUCGGGUCUAGUGGCGCACGGGUGCGUAACGCGUGGGAACCUGCCCUUAGGUUCGGACUAACUCCCCGAAAGGGGUGCUAAUACCGGAUAAUGUCUUCUGACCAAAGAUUUAUCGCCUUUGGAUGGUCCCGCGUUGGAUUAGCUCGUUGUUAGGGUAAAAGCCUACCAAGGCGACGAUCCAUAGCUGGUCUGAGAGGAUGAUCAGCCACACUGGGACUGAGACACGGCCCAGACUCCUACGGGAGGCAGCAGUGGGGAAUAGUGGACAAGGGGGGAAAGCAUGAACCAGCAAUGCCGCGUGAGUGAUGAAGGCAGUAGGGUAGUAAAGCUCUUUUACCCGGGAUGAUAAUGACAGUACCGGGAGAAUAAGCUCCGGCUAACUACGUG
rnacentral:rRNA from 1 species